AAAAAAACCUUACAUUUACCCAAAAACACAAAAACAUAAACAAAAACUCUUCUUAAAAACAAAAAUGACAGAAUCCUAACCCUAGAAUCCGAGUCUAGCUAGACGUCAUCCAUCACGCAUCCAUUCUCCACCGCCUCUGUUCAUCACCAGCGCUACACAACCAUGGUGGAAUCUCCGGUGAGACACCUCACCUUCGCUGCCACCCCAAAGGCCUCCUUGAUGGGUGUGGGCUUCGACAUCGAUGGCACCUUGAUGGUGUCGGUCAUCGACUUCCCGGCCAUGUACCACACCAUGCUUCUCUCUGCUCCGGCAACCCCACCAGCAGCAUUGACAUCCUCCACCACUUUGAGACUUGGCCUCUCGCUGAGCAGCAGCGCACAUAUGAGAUUAUCACCCAUUUCGAGCGUCAAGGCCUCAAUCACCUCCAAAUCAUGUCCGGUUUUCCCUAAUCUCAAGCUAUUUCGAUUUAAAUCUGAAGCUAUUUUGGAAAUCAAAUCUCAUUGUUCCCUCUCUAAAAGUGCUUUGGACCUUUGUCGAUUUCUGGAUUCAAAGAAGAUUAGGGAGUGAAGUUGGAUGAAAUGGCAAACUUGUUCCCAAUAUAUGCAUCACGCUUCCCUUCCCCUUAUGGAGAUGCUACAUCUGGCUCUAGGUCUUUGUCCAGAUCUUGCUCUAGGAGCCCAGAUUUCAGUGAUGUUGAAAAUCCUGAAAAUAACUUGUAUGUGAGAGGGUUGUCUUCUCAUGUUACAAAGGAUGAACUAGAGAAGUAUUUUGCCACUGAAGGAAAGGUGAUUGAUGUAUGUCUUGUGGUGGAUCCAUGGUUAAGAGAGUCUCUUGGCUUUGGAUUUGUUACCAUGGAGUGAAUUGAAGAUUCAAACAGUUGCCUUAAGUAUCUUCAUGGUCUGUGCUUGAAGGUCGGGUUAUCACUGUUGAAAAGGUAAACCAGCAUUUCAAAUAUUAUGAUUUAGUUCAUUCCAUUAUUAAGUUGAUUGAGGCGAUUGAUGCUUUGAGUGAUUUUUGAGAGGUGUUGUUCCUUUGAAGUGUUUUUGGAAACAAGCUAGCUGUGCGUAGCCACUCUUCAUCAAACUUCAAAAGCUUUAUCCUAACAAUCAAAUCAAACCUGAUCAAGCAAAACCAGACAAUAUAACCAAGGGCUAGGAGGAGACGUGGUCGAAUACCCACUCUAAGCCAAUAUCUUGGUGCGAGGACCUUCCAUUGUAAGCACUUCUUGCACCUUUAGAUAAUUUGUUGGUUUUAUCUGGAUAGAUAUGCAUGUAUAGAUAUAAAGUUGAAGAUACUUGUGUUGGAAAUUUUGGUUCUUUUCUUACUGUCAACCUCUUCUAUAGUUCUAUUUGUGGACAUAGAUGUUAUUAUUCCACCAAGUAUACUAGAACUAUGUUGGUUUUCUUAUAUAAAUUUGAACAUAUGCUAAUGGUGUUUGUGUUUUAAAAGCUCGACGUCGGUCUCCAAGUGCUUCGCCAUAUUAUAGAAGCCGUUACAGAUCAUCAAGCUAUACAUGUGAACAUAGAUUUGCAAUCAUUUGCUUCAAUUUUGACUGCAUCACUUUUCUAUAUUUUAUUAUCCAUGAUCAACUAUUUGUUUGUAUGUCCCAUAUGCGCAUGCAAGGGAAUAGACACUAUUCUUUUCUUUUUCGUUUUUUAUGUUUCUCGUAUGCACAUGGUGUUUGAGUUCAAUUUUUUGGUAAGGAAAAUUUCUCCAUUAGAAGGGUGGAAUGAACAUGAAUAUGGAGACACAAUGCUCGA